rnacentral:rRNA from 2 species
UGGCUCAGGACGAACGCUGGCGGCGUGCCUAAUACAUGCAAGUCGAACGAGUUCUCGUUGAUGAUCGGUGCUUGCACCGAGAUUCAACAUGGAACGAGUGGCGGACGGGUGAGUAACACGUGGGUAACCUGCCCUUAAGUGGGGGAUAACAUUUGGAAACAGAUGCUAAUACCGCAUAGAUCCAAGAACCGCAUGGUUCUUGGCUGAAAGAUGGCGUAAGCUAUCGCUUUUGGAUGGACCCGCGGCGUAUUAGCUAGUUGGUGAGGUAAUGGCUCACCAAGGCGAUGAUACGUAGCCGAACUGAGAGGUUGAUCGGCCACAUGGGACUGAGACACGGCCCAA